AAAUGAAUAGACGGGGGCCCGCACAAGCGGAGGAACAUGUGGUUUAAUUCGAUGAUACGCGAGGAACCUUACCCGGGUUUGAAUUGCUGCCGUCGGUAUUUGGAGACAGAUACUUCCCUUCGGGGCGUCAGUGAAGGUGCUGCAUGGUUGUCGUCAGCUCGUGCCGUGAGGUGUCGGCUUAAGUGCCAUAACGAGCGCAACCCUUGCCGUUAGUUGCCAUCGGGUCAUGCCGGGCACUCUAUUGGGACUGCCAUCGUAAGAUGUGAGGAAGGUGGGGAUGACGUCAAAUCAGCACGGCCCUUAUGUCCGGGGCGACACACGUGUUACAAUGGGGGGUACAGUGGGAAGCUACCUGGCGACAGGUUGCGGAUCCCCAAAUCCUUUCUCAGUUCGGAUCGGAGUCUGUAACUCGACUCCGUGAAGUUGGAUUCGCUAGUAAUCGCGCAUCAGCCAUGGCGCGGUGAAUACGUUCCCGGGCCUUGUACACACCGCCCGU
rnacentral:rRNA from 1 species